rnacentral:precursor_RNA from 15 species
NAUAACGUUUCACUUAGUCUGAAGGUGAAAUCCUGGCUCUGUUGAUGUCUAUAGAAGUUUUACCAUUGACUUCAGUAGAAUCAGGAUUUCUCCCUCAUGAGUGUUUACACUUCAGAAG